rnacentral:rRNA from 1 species
CCUACGGGAGGCAGCAGUAGGGAAUCUUCCACAAUGGGCGAAAGCCUGAUGGAGCAACGCCGCGUGGGUGAAGAAGGUCUUCGGAUCGUAAAACCCUGUUGUUAGAGAAGAAAGUGCGUGAGAGUAACUGUUCACGUUUCGACGGUAUCUAACCAGAAAGCCACGGCUAACUACGUGCCAGCAGCCGCGGUAAUACGUAGGUGGCAAGCGUUAUCCGGAUUUAUUGGGCGUAAAGGGAACGCAGGUGGUCUUUUAAGUCUGAUGUGAAAGCCUUCGGCUUAACCGGAGUAGUGCAUUGGAAACUGGGAGACUGGAGUGCAGAAGAGGAGAGUGGAACUCCAUGUGGAGCGGUGAAAUGCGUAGAUAUAUGGAAGAACACCAGUGGCGAAAGCGGCUCUCUGGUCUGUAACUGACGCUGAGGUUCGAAAGCGUGGGUAGCAAACAGGAUUAGAUACCCCUGUAGUC